UGCUUUUGAAAGUACUAAACAAAGUGGAAACUAGAUAAAGACAACAUACCUUUGGUUCUAAAAAGCACCCUUUGAAGUAGCGGUACUGAACUGAUACUCCUCUAUUGAGUUCAACGGAUGUUUUCCAUAACAUGCUAUCCACUGUCUCAUCUUCUGGAAGAAGAGUCACUGCAUUUUGAGGAUUCCAGUUUCCCAAGGCAUCACAGCUUCCACAUAUGGCAAAAACUUCUCCUA